CUCGUCUCGGCAUGAGCGUUUGUUGUCCUUCGUGUCGUGCAAAGCAAAACCAUUUUUCACCGUUUCUCAAGAGAUUAUGGAAAAGGGUCUAAGGGUUGCAGCUGCCUUUAUGAAGAAUCUCGUCACCGCAGCCACUGGUGCCACCAUCACUACCUUCACACACCCGAUCUGCCCCAACUCCUCUUGUGAUGAAUGUUGCAACAAUACGUGAAUACAUAGGUAAUACAUGCUUGGAUCCUGAACAGAGUUGGAGGAAAGCUCAAAUGGUUGGUUUUCAGUUUCCUUCUACUGUGGCAGAUUCUUGAACCAUUUGAAAACCAUCCAUUGAUUUAUUCGUGCUGGAAAGUGGUUGAAAUCGUUUAGGAAAACAAUUACUGGAUCAUUCAGAUGGUGCAUUUGGGCUCCAGGAAUAAGCAACAAUAGCAGUUAAUUUGCAAGUACAAGCAAAGGCUACAACAGAUAGAAGCAAAAUUCCAAAAAGUUCGCCGGUGAGCACACUGAGGGUACGACCGGCAGAAAUUAUCACCUUUUUAAGAGACUGAAAAAACAAAAGAUGGCAGACAGGAGUGACCGUGUGUGGUUAAAUGUUCAGUGGAAUAUCCAUUAAAAUAGAUAUUACUUCAUCAAAAGUAGGACAGUAUUGGUGUCAAAGAUUUUGAAUUUAACGGACAGUCUAGAACAGUGUUGUCCAAACAUUUUCGCCUAUUGUACCCUUUAUUACAUUCUUGUACUGUUACGUACCCCCCAC